rnacentral:rRNA from 1 species
UACGUAGGGUGCAAGCGUUGUCCGGAAUUAUUGGGCGUAAAGAGCUCGUAGGCGGUCUGUCGCGUCGGCUGUGAAAAUCCCGAGGCUCAACCUCGGGUCUGCAGUCGAUACGGGCAAACUAGAGUAUUGCAGGGGAGACUGGAAUUCCUGGUGUAGCGGUGAAAUGCGCAGAUAUCAGGAGGAACACCGGUGGCGAAGGCGGGUCUCUGGGCAAUAACUGACGCUGGAGGAGCGAAAGCCGUGGGAGCGAACAGG